CUUGGCGGCCAUAGCGCGGUGGUCCCACCUGAUCCCAUGCCGAACUCAGAAGUGAGCGCCGAUGGUAGUGUGGGGUCUCCCCAUGUGAGAGUAGGGAACUGCCAAGC
rnacentral:rRNA from 1 species